UAAUCUAUCUAGGGUAGAUCAUCAUCUAGUUGUGGCAGAUUCACACUUGAUUGCUCAGAAUUGCUUGUUAUCUCAAGCCCGACUACAUCUUUCUCCCUGUGUUGGAGAGAAUUCAUCCUCGAGUUCUGUUCUUCAUUCAAAUAAAAUAUCAAAUGCUAGACAUUGAAG
rfam:Populus trichocarpa scaffold_2639_contig_2, whole genome shotgun sequence.